rnacentral:rRNA from 1 species
CGGGGUGAGUAACGCGUGGGUAACCUGCCUUGUACUGGGGGACGAACAGUUGGAAACGACUGCUAAUACCGCAUAAGCGCACAGCUUCGCAUGAAGCAGUGCGAAAAACUCCGGUGGUACAAGAUGGACCCGCGUCUGAUUAGCUGGUUGGUGAGGUAACGGCCCACCAAGGCGACGAUCAGUAGCCGGCCUGAGAGGGUGAACGGCCACAUUGGGACUGAGACACGGCCCAA